rnacentral:rRNA from 1 species
UACGGGGGGUGCGAGCGUUGCUCGGAAUCACUGGGCGUAAAGGGUGCGUAGGCGGGUCUUUAAGUCAGGGGUGAAAUCCUGGAGCUCAACUCCAGAACUGCCUUUGAUACUGAAGAUCUUGAGUUCGGGAGAGGUGAGUGGAACUGCGAGUGUAGAGGUGAAAUUCGUAGAUAUUCGCAAGAACACCAGUGGCGAAGGCGGCUCACUGGCCCGAUACUGACGCUGAGGCACGAAAGCGUGGGGAGCAAACAGG